AUUUUCUAACAAGUUUCUUUUCCAAUGUUAUGGUGCAGCAUUAUGUGUUGCUUUAAAAACCUCCUACUCAAAUGACAUUUGUAAUGUAAAUUCAUAGCCUUUGUCAGAUGAUAUGACAACUCACUGAACUUGAAAUGCUCUUGAAAUCACCAAUUCAAAUGAUGCUUUUAGUAUUCCAUUGCUGCCCAUGUUAGAUGAUGUGAUAACUCAUUGAAAUUCCAUUUUGACUAGCGAUUUAUUGAGCAUCUCUGCUCCUGCGACACUCAUUGAACUUCAAGGCA
rnacentral:misc_RNA from 1 species